rnacentral:rRNA from 1 species
AGGAUAAACGCUGGCGGCGUGCCUAACACAUGCAAGUCGAACGCGCUUACUAUCCGCGAGGAGGGUGAGCGAGUGGCGGACGGGUGAGGAACACGUGGGUGACCUACCUUUCAGUGAGGGAUACCGGCGAGAAAUUGCCGACAAGACCGCAUACGCUUCUCUUUUCAAGGGGAGAAGGAAAGCUUUUCGCAAGAGAGGCGCUGGGAGAUGGGCCUGCGGCCGAUUAGCUAGCUGGUGGGGUAAUGGCCUACCAGGGCGACGAUCGGUAGCUGGUCUGAGAGGACGAUCAGCCACACUGGGAUUGAGAACGGCCCAGACUCCUACGGGGGGCAGCAGUGAGGAAUUUUCGGCAAUGGGGGCAACCCUGACCGAGCAACGCCGCGUGCAGGACGACGGCCUUCGGGUUGUAAACUGCUUUUCUCUGGGACGAGCAAGGACGGUACCAGAGGAAGAAGCCCGGCUAACUACGCGCCAGCAGCCGCGGU